GACACAGUAACAAUCUGAUCUCUCUUGCUGUUCCCCACAGGGCCGAGAUCUUGCCACUGCACUCCAGCCUGGGUGACAGAGUGAGACUCCAUCUCAAAAAAAAAAAAAGUGUGCUCUGGGCUGGGCGCAGGGGCUUACAACUGUAAUCCCAGCACUUUGGGAGGCUGAGGCAGGAGGAUCGCUUGAAGUCAGGAGUUUGGGAUCAGAUCCUAUCUCUAGAAAAAUGAUUUUUAAAAAUUAGCUGGGUUGGUGGUGAAUGCCUGUAGUCCCAGCUACUCAGGAGGCUGAGGCAGGAAGAUUGCUGGAGCCCGGGAGUUCAAGGCUGCAGUGAGCUAUGAUCAGGCCACUGCACUCCAGUUUGAGGGACAGAGAGAGAUCCCAUCUCCCUAAAGAACAAAAAAGUGUGCUCUGGUGCCACACUGCCUGGUUAGAUCCUUUGUCCACCACUUAGAUGCAUGUUAUAUAAAUGCUGUCUUCAAUUUCCUCAUCUGUAACUUGGGGAUGAUAAUGCUGUCCCAUGAAGUGGUUGUGGGGACUAAAUGUACGUGGGCACAUUGGUAAGUAUUCAACAAGCUUGAUUUUUCCUGGAGAGGGAGAAAGAGCAUACAGUGAAGUGGCAUGGUCAGGUGCAUUGGGGCAAGGAUUAUUUCCUCUGGCUUCUGCCUCCUGGGAGGUACUAAGGAUGGAUCUGAAAUGUGUCUGCAGACCCCAGAGUUGGGGACUGCAGAGGGAAAUUGAGAUCAGGGACCCCAGUCUGGCAGAAAUGGGUGCAGCAUGGGGCAUUGGGUUCCUUCCAUCAGAGGCAUGGGGUGUGUUGCAGACAGUCAUGAGAUGUGGCUGAAUCUUGCAAGGGAGCCACUGUCCUAGGGUUGCUGCUUGAGACAAAGACCACUGUCAGUGGAACCUGGUGACCUUCACCCUUCUGUGUCAGGCUGCAGACAGCAAGAGAUGGCAGCAGAUUACACCCAACAGGAAAAGGGCCAUUGCUAUCCCACAGGUUGCCAUAGGAGGGGAUGAUAUCUCUUCCCUCUCCUCCUCCAGCAGUGUCAGCUGGGGAAGAGGUGGGUUGGUGUGCACAAAAGAGUAGACCGCAGACCAUGCUGCUUCUCCUCCAGUCUGCUGGGGCCCCAAGAGAGUCUGCAGCCCUUGGCCAGGGACCGGCUGACACAGGAGAACAAAAGAUCUCAGGCUGGGAUAACAUGGUGGUGCAGUUCAUCCUCUGGAGCUCCCUGUGAGAUCAGACUGGAGCCAGUCUCCAGCUGAGACCACAUCUCACUUAGCUCCUUCCCUGCCAUAUCCUGUUUUCCUUACUCCUAUCUCCUGAGAGUCCUGAAUGAAUUACAUGCACUCAAUCCGUGCCUCAGGCUCUGUUUUUCGGGAACUUGACCUAAGACAGAUAUCUUAGUACUAAAUACUUUGCAAGGCUUCAGAAGCUCUGCUAUCCACAGGCAGGUGAGAUAUUACCUUCCCUACCACCUGGCAGUCAUAGUCUAUGAUGCAACUCAGCUUUGUGGAAGUGCUUCUCUAAAGAACUUCCCCCAAUUUAAGAUGAUCUUAAUUUGCUUACUUGUUUACUGUCCAUUCAGCUGCUCUAAAAUGUGAGCUCCAAAUCAGGGACCAUGUCUGGUUGGUUACCCAUUUCCUGGGACCUAGAACGGGCCUAGCUCAGAGCAGGUGCUCACUAUUGAUGGAAUGCAUGUUGAAAGAAUGCAUGAAUCUCAUCUCCUUUUGUGGGUGAAAAUCUCAUCCUAUUCUCACUCCUGAUUAACUUUCUUUCUUUUUUUUUUUUCAAAACGGAGCCCUGAUCUGUCACCCAGGCUGGAGUGCAAUGGUGCCAUCUCAGCUCGCUGCAACCUCUGCCUUCUGGAUUAAAGCAAUUCUCCUGCCUCAGCCUCCCGGGUAGCUGGGAUUACAGGUGCACACCACCACGCCCGGCUAAUUUUUUGUAUUUUUAAUAGAGACAGGGUUUUGCCAUGUUGGCCAGGCUGGUCUCAAACCCCUGACCCUGUGAUCUGCCCGAUUUGGCCUCCCAAAGUCCUGGGAUUACAAACAUGAGCCACCGUACCCAGCCACUCUUGAUUAACUUAAUGGAAAUAUUUAGAGAUUCUUUCUUUUCUGGGUUCUAGAGUCUUCUCUGUAACCUCUGCAGGUAAUACAUUUUCCUUCCUGAUAAAGCAUUUCUAUGGUUGCUUUCACUUGCAAAUCCUCUAAUACUUAUUUAUUCCAUUUCUGAUUGGCAUUAGACAUAAUUCUCAAUUUUUAGUGACAGCACUUUUGUUAACUUACAUAUAAAUCGACUUUGCCUUGAAAUGUGACAUUGACUAGAAGGACGACACUUCUAACAUGUUGUAGAACAUAGUUUGACUGGCUAAUUUAUUAUUUAGAAGAAGCUAAUAUUGCCAUUAUGAGGGACUUAGGUGGCUCUGAAGAACAAGUUGUAUUUCUGAUGUUUGCAAUGUUAAAUCACAGAUAUUGCCAAUGUGAAAUAGUUUCCGUAUGCUGUGUUCUCAAUACACACCUUUUCCAAGGAUAUCCCAAGCUGUAGUCUUAGGAAACUGUGAUUUUUCUUAUUUGGUCUCAUAGGAAUUUGGGGAGCUAUGCGGGAUCUCCAUAAAAUGAGCUCCAGAAAGACACAUGUGUGCGCGCACACACACACACACACACACACACACUCACACAUGUACCGCACCACAAUUGAAUCUGUUUAUUUGGGACCCAUGAUUAUUUUCAACAAACACUUCUGAGAAAUAAUCUGAACACUUAAUUGGAUGCAAAAGAGUGAGUAUUUACUAUUCUACCCUUUAAUUAGCAUAAUCAAUGUUUCCAGCAGCAAAAGCAAUUGGAAAAUCGCUAGUUUUAUUAGGUUCAUUAUUCUCCCUUAGCGUAGUGUGGCAUCAGCAUGGCUAUUAUUCUUAAAUUGCCUCCUUAAAACAAGGGCUGGUGCUUCUUACAGGCCAUUCCUAACUCUUGGGUUUUGUAGAGAGUCCAAAACUCUUUAGAACCUAUAAUUCAAGGAAAGGCUCCACUUUGGUUUUGCAUUUUGUCUGGUCUCUUUGGCUGACAGAAUUUAUGUCAAAAGGUGCACAUGUUUGUGGGAGGCUCAUGGACAGCCCAUCACGUUUGUGCUUUGGUAGGAAGUACGUGCCAUUAAGGGGAAGGAGUUAGUUACUGAUUCUAGGGAACAAUUGGGUAGAAAGAGAUGGACUCCCUGUGUUUGAAAUUCAGAACUCAAGCUUGGCUCUAAGUGUUUCCUUGCUUUGCUGUGCUCCAGGGGAGUCCUUGAGCAGAAGGAAGCAAGUUGCCUGAGAUUCUUCAAAGCCCGCAGCCCUUUUGGAGGUUAGAUGGUUAUUCUCAGAGCCUUUAUGAUGCAUAAUAAAGACCUAGCUUGGACCAAUAUUAGGAUGAGUUAUCUUGCUAUUAACAUUCUUUUAGGUAGAAGUUGCUGGUCCCAUCUUGCUCACAAUCCUCCAAAGUUUGAAAGUUAUUUUCCAGGAGACUUGGCUUGCACUGAGAGCUGCCCUCCCACCCUCUCUCCAAAUUUCCUCUUGGGGGUAGCCUAACAAGGUGCUGUCACAGACCCUUGUCGGCCACGAUGACCCCACCCAGACCAUCCCUCUGCUGUUUCACUCUUUGAUAGUCUCUGGAGCUCUCUGGGGAGGGGUGAGACCUGCCGUCUAGUUUGUAUGGUUUGCCCAGGUCUUACAGUCAUGGCUGGCUGCCUCUCUCUGAGAACUAGAACUCCUGAACUUGGUGAAAGACCUCAGCCAUCGAUCAUGUUGAAUUAUCGGGGACACUCAUUUGAAAUCCGAGCCUGUUCCAGAUAGACUCUCUCUCUUUCUGCCCUGACCGUGAGAGAAGCCCUGCUGGACGGUGGAGACACUCGUGGGCUGUGAGCAAGGGAUGCAAAGGCUGCCGGGAAUCCCAUCUUUCCAGCAUCAUCUGCCAAGGCACAUUAGUUCCUGGGUAUCUGGAUGGGUUCUAGCAGCAUUACUGUCAUUGAAGGAAAAAUUUUAGCCAUAUUAAAGGUUAAUGCAGCAAUCUCCACAUAGGCUGCCUGGAAGGGAAGCAGGACAAGGUUAGGUUUUCCUUGUGAUGGACAGGAGGCAGGCGGCCCUCCCACAGCCCUGCCUGGCAAUACAGAUGUGUCCCCAAAAGGCACUGGGGGCCAGCUGGAGUGCUAUGCCGAGGCGGACUGACCCGGGCCGUGGGUUCACUCUGCUGGCAGCGGUUUCCCGCCAGCUCCUUGCAGAGUUGGCAGAUGGCCCAGCCCCACAGCAGGAGCCGGGAAUGGCAGAACGAGACACAACAAUUUGAUAUCCACUUGCCAGAUGAGCCGGGUGUCAUCAGUCGCCUGGCUCUAUGCCCAACCUCUUUUUGCAUAAACACUUAUGGAUUCAGCCAAGAGGAAAAGCACUCUGAUUAUGAAUUGAGCAGAAGGAAACAAAGUUCUGCAGAUAAACACCAAUGAAACAAAAAACCACGAAUAAGAAAAAUGACAGAAAAGGAGAACCUUCCCAGAAUCCUCCUGCCAGUGAACGGUCACCAGAGCAAGAGCAUGGAGUCCCUGGGUUUUGAACUGUGAGAUAAGGAAGAUGAUGAAAACCUCCCUAGCAGCCAGUUCUACAGGGCCUGGAGCUGAUACGAAAAACCUCCCUUCUUUCCCAAAUGGUCCCCAGCUUCCCCGUUCACUGAAGGCCCUGCAGUCGGGAACAGUCAGGACUUUGCACCCAGUUGUUGUGGGUGUUUGGCCAACCCUUCCUCUUGUGUGAUUCAUGGACCUGCAGCAUUGCGUCACCUGUGAGCUUUUGGAAUUGAAGACUCUCAGGGCUCACCCGGGAGGACCUGCUGGGCCAGAAUCUGCAUUUUAACAAGAUGCCUGGGUGAUCUGCAUACACGUUCAGAUCUGAGAAGUGCUGGUAGGAGAGGCUUUAAGGUGGUAAUUAGAUCUUUUCUCCACCUACAAGAAUCUUAGUUUCUUCAUGUUAAAUCUAUUAACUGUGGCAAUGGCAUGGGGGUUAUAAAACAAAACAAAACAAAACCCUUACAUCAAGAAUGCACCCUGGUGUGUUAUGGAUGUGGGUGAAAUGAAAUGUCUGGAAUUUGCUUUAAAAUAUUGUAAAAUAGCAAGAAGGAAAAGAAAAGCGGGAACUGGAAUGAGAUUGGCGAGAUGUUGACAAGUUCUUGCAGUGGGAUGAUGGGUGAAUGGGGGUUCAUGGUGCAAUUCUCUCCCUGCUUUUUGUGCCUAUGGGAAAUUUCCAUAACGAAAAGUUAGAGGUCAGGCACGGUGGCUAAUGCCUGUAAUCUCAGCAUUUUGGGAGGCUGAGGUGGGUAGAUCACUUGAACCUAGGAGUUCAAGACCAUCCUGGACAACAUGGCGAAACCCCAUCUCUACUAAAAAUGCAAAAAUUAGCCAGGCAUGGUGACAACAUGCCUGUAGUCAUGUUGAGGCACAAGGUCGAGGCAUGAGAAUCACUUGAACCCAGGAGGCGGAGGUUGCAGUGAGCCGAGAUCGCACCAUUACACUCCAGCCUGGGCGACAGAGUGAGACUUGGUCUCAAAAAAUUUUUUAAUUUUCUUUUUUCUUUUAUUUUUUGUUUUGAGAUGGAGUCUUGCUCUUUUGCCCAGGCUGGAGUGCAGUGGCAUGAUCUUGGCUCACUGCAAACUCCACCUCCUGAGUUUACUCCAUUCUUCUGCCUCAGCCUCCAGAGUAGCUGGGACUAUAUGAACCCACCACCAUGUCCGGCUAAUUGUUUGUAUUUUUAGUACAGAUGGGGUUUCACUGUGUUAGGAUGGUCUUGAUCUCCUGACCCCGUGAUCUGCCCACCUUGGCCUCCCAAAGUGCUGAGAUUACAGGCAUGAGCCAUUGUGCCUGGCCUUAAUUUUAUUUAAUUUUUUUCUUUGUUGAGACAGGAUCUCACUCUGUAGCCCAGGCUGGAGUGCAGUGUUGUGAUCCCGGUUCACUGCAGCCUCUACCUCCUGUGUUCAAGCAAUCCUCCCACCUCAGCCUCCUGAGUAGCUGAGACCACAGGCAUGUAUCAUCACACCUGGCUAGUUUUUUCCCUUUUUCUAGAGGCAAGGUCUUGCUAUGUUGCCCAGGCCGGUCUUGAACUCCUGAGCUCAAGCAAUCUUCCCGUCUUAGCAUGGGAGUAAUCCCAAAGUGCUGGGAUUACAGGUGUGAGUCACUCUACCCAGCCUCAACUGUUUUUUGUGACUCCACUUUUUCUCCCCCUUGGAAAUGAGUAGUCUUUGAGGGAAUGUCUUUUUUGUCUCAAUCUCUGGUUUCUUUGCUCAGUGCACCUGUGUCUGGCGCUUUGUUGAUCUCCAGGCCUUUUUCAGCAGCUUUGUCCCUGGAGAGCAGGAUGGCAGCUGAUGGCUUCUCAGCAUUUUUUAACUCAGUUUAAGAUGACUAUCAACAACAUCUAGUCAGCAUCUGUUGCUCUCGGCAGCUGGGACUCUAUUUCCUUUCUCUUUCUCCACCUCUCUAACCUCUUUAAGACUCUGGCUUUGUCAUGGGUACAGCAUCACCUGUGUGGCCCUUAGGCUCUCUUACUUACAUGUGAUCUGCGUAUUAUGUCUGGCUUCUCAACCAGGGUGUGAUUUUGCUCCCCAGAGAACAUGUGCCCAUGUCUGGAGAGUUUUGGUUGUUGCAGCUGGAGGAGGUGGUGCUACUGGCAUCUAAUGGGUAGAGGCCACGGAUGCUGCUAAACAUCCUACAAUGCCCCGGACAACUCCCACUAAGACAAAGUAAUGAUCCAGCCCCAAAUGUCAAUAGUGCUGAAAGUGAGAGACCCUGAUUCCAUCUUAGAGCUUAGAGAUCAUCCAAGCACAUUUGGCCAAAUUGUUUUUGCUACUGUCCCAUGAAAAAAAGACAGACUCAUGACUGAUGGCAACAUCGAUGGGAAUUUUGUUUACCUCUUCUUGGUGGACUUUGGGAUACCAUCACUUACCAUUUAUGCAAGUUGUACAUUGCACACCUCCAGGGGGCGCCACCCACAUAUUUAUGAAAAUGCCGCCCCAGGAAUUGCACAGUACACAGUCUGUGGCUUAUGGCUAUAAGCAGUUGCUCUGGUUUUGGGGUUGCCCUGGGGUGCUCUGAAACUGAGAGGAACUUUAUUUCUGGCCAUUAGAGGCCCUGAGCAUGACAUUGAGUAUCCUUUCAAGAAAGGAGAAAGGUUGAACAGAGAGGACCUCAUUUUUAUAACUCUUGACCAUCAUCUAGUUACGGAGCAUCCACUUUUCACCCCUGGGCCAUAUCCAUUUGACGGAUGUAAAAUGAUUAAAUUAUAAUAUCAUGGUUUACACUUUUGAUAGCUUCUGCCCGGAACAUGGCGGUAAGAUCCUCUCAUUUUCAAUUGAUUCAUUGGGGGAGAAAAUAUACACGGCUGCCCUAAGACUUUCUAUUACACACCAUUUGCUUGACGGGAUUUCUUUAGUUUCUGUAGCAUAACUUAUUCUAACUGGUCCUCAAUCACUUUGCAAUAAAAAGUGAGAUUGUGAAAAUGUUCAUUGUCAUUACCAGUGAUGGAGCAGUAAGUACAGAGUUCUGGAGAGGGAAGGAAUCGAGAGAUUUAAACUAGCGGAAUGAGCCGCUCACCCUCAGAAUUGCUUUUAUUCUUGGUGAGAACUGAGGGGAAUUUCGACAGGGUUCAGCGGGACUGCAGGGAGUGGGGCUGGGAGGUGGCUGUUUGCACGUGUGGUCAGCACAUCCAGUGAGGGGGUCCAUGUACUGUGGGCAGCCCCACAGAUGGAGUUGGGAUUGCCCUGGACUGAGUACUGGGUCAUCAGACUGCAAACUGCCAUUCUCAAGACAUCGAGUCCCAGGCUGGUGCAGGAGAUACAUUGCAGUGUGUCAGCCUUUCUUCCAUCGCUCCUCUCCAAUGACAGUUCCCGAUUUUCCACCGAGGAGUCACUAGUACCCCACGGCAUGUGUGCGACUGGCCACUCCCCACCCUGAUCUGGGGCUGGGGCAUGUGGUCCCAGCCUGGAUGUCAAUAUCCUUCCACCACCCUGGCCACAGCGAUUGGGUCUGAGAAGCAGAUUAGCCAAAGGAGAGACAAUCUUGGAAAUUUCAUGUUCAUGCUUAAGAAAGUAAAAUGGAAAGCGAGGGGAGGGUGAGGGGUCAUUCUGAUGAUACAGUUUGAGGACCUGGAUGUAGCCACACCUGUAGCUGUCAACUCUGUGCCAUAGUACUGCUUUUUAUUUUUUUUCCUUCAAAUUUAAAUACUUUCUAGAGGCAAGGUCUUUCUAUGUUGCUUGGGCUGGUUUUGAAAAGUCUCUUUUGGGGGGAUGCUUUCACUGCUUCACUUCCUUUCUAUGACAGCUCAGGGAAUCAGAAGACAAGGGAGAUGACUUUUUUUUUUUUUUUUGAGACAGGGCUUGCUCUAUUGCCCAGGCUGGAGUGCAGUGGUGCAAUCACAGCUCACCACAGCCUUGAUCUUCUGGAAUCAAGCGACCCUCCUGCUUCAGCCUCCUGAGUAGCUGGGCCUGUAGGCGGGUACCACCAUGCCCAGCUAAUUAAUUUUUUUUUUUUUUUUUUUUAAGAAAUGAGAUCUCAGUAUGUCACCCAGGCUGGCCUCAAACUCCUGAGCUCAAGCGAUUGCCCUGCCUUAGGUUCCCAAACUUACAGGUGUGAGUCCCCACACCAGUCAACACUGUGGUCUUAUGCACCCGGUGUCCCCAUAGGCCCUGAGCAAUGAUCCUCCUGCUUCAACUUCCCGAAAUACUGGGAUAACAGAUGUGAAGCACCAUGUGUGGCCCACAUAGUAUUCUUAUGGGUUAAAUUGAGUCCUCCUCAAAAGAUGUUGAAAUCCUAAAUUCUUGUAGCUGAGAAUGUGAUCUUAUUUAGAAAUACUUAUUGCAGGCCGGGCAUCGUGGCUCACACCUGUAAACCCAGCACUUUGGGAGGCCGCUGUGGGUGGAUCACCUGAGGUCAGGAGUUUGAGACCAGCCUGACCAACAUGGAGAAACCCCGUCUCUACUAAAAAUACAAAAUUAGCUGAGUGUGGUGGUGCAUACCUCUAAUCCCAGCUACUCAGGGUGCUGAGGCAGGAGAAUCACUUGAACCCAGGAGGUGGAGGUUGCAUUGAGCUGAGAUCAUGCCAUUGCACUCCAGCCUGGGCAACAAGAGUGAAACUCCGUCUCAAAAAAAAAAAAAGGAAGAAAGAAAGAGGGUUAUUGCAGAUGCUAUUGAUUAGGAUGAAGUCAUCCUGGAGUAGGGAUGGCCCUAAGUCAAUGACUGGUGUCCUUAUAAAAGAGGAGAGGACACGCUGAGUCAUGGAGACACAGGGAAGAAGGCCAUGGAUCAGACAGAAGAUUGGACUGAUGCGUCUGCAAACCAAGGAACACUGAAAACUGCCAGGAGACCACAGGAAGCUAGGAAGAGGCAAGGCAGGACUCCCUGACAAGUGCAGGAGAGAGUGUGGCCCUGCUGGCACCUCCAUUUCAGACUGCUGGCCACCAGAGCCACAAGACAAUCAAUUUCUCUUGUUUCAAGUCACCCAGCUUGUGGUACUUGGUUGUGGCAGCCCUAGAGAAUGAAUAUAAGUACUUUCUUUUUUUUUUUCUUUUUUUGAGACGGAGUUUCACUCUGUUGCCCAGGCUGGAGUGCAGUGGCGCGAUCUCGGCUCACUGCAAGAUCUGCCUCCCAGGUUCACGCCAUGCUCCUGCCUCAGCCUCCCGAGUAGCUGGGACUACAGGCACCUGCCACCAAGCCCUGCUAAUUUUUUGUAUUUUUAACAGAGACGGGGUUUCACCGUGUUAGCCAGGAUAGUCUCCAUCUCCUGACCUCGUGAUCCACCUGCCUCAGCCUCCCAAAGUGCUGGGAUUACAGACGUGAACCACUGUGCCCGGCUAAAUAUAAGUGCUUUUAAAUUAACUCUCCUCUUCUCUCCAUCUUCUUCUAAAUCAUCAUUUUUGCCUGAGCAACAGCUAGGGUCUAAUACGGAUGUGAUGAUUCACUUCAAAGUGGGGGAAGCCAGUCCCCAUGUGCGCCCAAAGCUCCUGCUGCCUUGGCCCUGGGCUCAGAGACUGGACCAUCAUUCUGGAGGCUUGCUGAAGAUCUGAGACAGGGCAGCAUUCUCUGUUGCCUUUAAACAAAGGCUGGUGCUCGCCCAGGCAUUUGAGCUCCACCGAGGAUCUAUUUGGAAGGCAGAAUUCUGAGAUGACCCCUUAGCUUCUUGCCCUGGAUAAAUGCCAGGUGUAAUCUCCUCUCCCUUGGAGUGUAGGCAGGACCCGUGGCUUGCUUCUAAUCUAUACCUAUGGAAAAGUUGAAGGGAUUUUGCAGAUGUAACUAAGCCCCUAAUCUGUUCGCUUUGAGUUAAUCAAAAGGGAGAUUAUUCAGGGUGGGCCUGACAUCUUCAGGUGAGAUCUUCAAUGAGGGUCUGGAGGAGAGAGACUCCUUCCUCCUGGUUUUUGGCUUUUGUUUGUUUGCUUGUUUUUGAGAUGGAGUCUCACUCUGUUGCCCAGGCUGGAGUGCAGUGGCACGAUCUCGGCUUACUGCAACUUCUGCCUCCUGGGUUCAAGUGAUUCUCCUGCCUCAGCCUCCCAAGUAGCUGGGAUUACAGACAUGCGCCAUCAUGCCAGGCUAAGUUUUGUAUUUUUAGUAAAGAUGGGGUUUCACCAUAUUGGCCAGGCUGGUCUCGAACUCCUAACCUCGGGUGAUCCACCUGCCUCAGCCUCCGAAAGUGCUGGGAUUACAGGCGUGAGCCACCACACCCGGCUGGUUUUGAAGAAGCCACAUGAGUUCCACAGUUGCAUGGAAAUAAAUUCUGCCAACAACCAUGUGAGGUUGGGAGAAGACCCUAAGCCUCAUAUGAGACACUAAUUGCAGCCGACACCUUGAUCACAACCUUGUAAGUACCUGAGCAGAGGACCCAGCUGAAGCUGCAACCCCAGACUCCUGACCCACAGGAAAGGAGAG
rnacentral:lncRNA from 10 species